rnacentral:tRNA from 1 species
GCGGAACUGGCGGAAUUGGUAGACGCGCAUGAUUCAGGUUCAUGUGUUUUCGGACUUCCGGGUUCAAGUCCCGGGUUCCGCA